UCUGCAAGGAAAAGGUGACCAAUGGCAAA
rnacentral:piRNA from 2 species